rnacentral:rRNA from 1 species
GGUUAAGCGACUAAGCGUACACGGUGGAUGCCCUGGCAGUCAGAGGCGAUGAAGGACGUGCUAAUCUGCGAAAAGCGUCGGUAAGGUGAUAUGAACCGUUAUAGCCGGCGAUGUCCGAAUGGGGAAACCCAGUGUGAUUCGUCACACUAUCGUUAACUGAAUACAUAGGUUAACGAGGCGAACCGGGGGAACUGAAACAUCUAAGUACCCCGAGGAAAAGAAAUCAACCGAGAUUCCCCCAGUAGCGGCGAGCGAACGGGGAGCAGCCCAGAGUCUGAAUCAGCUUGUGUAUUAGUGGAACGGUCUGGAAAGUCCGACGGUACAGGGUGAUAGUCCCGUACACCAAAAUGCACAGGCUGUGAACUCGAAGAGUAGGGCGGGACACGUGGUAUCCUGUCUGAAUAUGGGGGGACCAUCCUCCAAGGCUAAAUACUCCUGACUGACCGAUAGU